rnacentral:rRNA from 1 species
ACUGCUCAGUAACACGUGGACAACCUACCCUUGGGUCUGGCAUAAUCCUGGGAAACUGGGGAUAAUUCCGGAUAGGUCACAGAUGCUGGAAUGCUCUGUGGCCGAAAGCUCCGGCGCCCAAGGAUGGGUCUGCGGCCUAUCAGGGUUGUAGUGGGUGUAACGUACCUACUAGCCUACGACGGGUACGGGUUGUGAGAGCAAGAGCCCGGAGAUGGAUUCUGAGACACGAAUCCAGGCCCUACGGGGUGCAGCAGGCGCGAAAACUUUACAAUGCGGGAAACCGUGAUAAGGGAAUCUCGAGUGCCAGCAUAUAAUGUUGGCUGUCCAGAUGCCUAAAAAGCAUCUGUUAGCAAGGGCCGGGCAAGACCGGUGCCAGCAGCCGCGGUAAUAC